GACGCAACAAAUUGGAAUCUAAGUCACUUUCUAGUUUGUGCAGAAAAUCAGCUCUUCCCCAAGAGGCUAUGUCUGUUCAGGCACCCACUGAGUGAACUGGAGGCAGUACAGUGAUUACUGCUCCACUGUUUGGUCUUGAGCUUGGAGAGCAGGCAUCUUCGUCCUGAUUACCUUGAAUAUACUCUGUGGGCCUUCAUAUUUGAAAAGCUUUCGGUAAUUGCUUGCUACCCAAGGGGACCAUUUCUGUGAGGAAUGUAGAACACUGGCAGAAGGAAGAAUUCAAAAGAGGCAAUCAAGCUCCAUGGCUUCUGGGACUGUCCAACACAAAAAUGUCAUCCCAGCACAACUCCUUCAUCUCCUUCUUGGGGAAUGACCAACAGUUCCACAAAACUAAGUAAAAUUAAGCAGUCAGUUCCCUGGCCCUUCAGAGUUUGCUUCCAAGGGGAUCUGAACCUAGAAACCUUUGUUUGUACUCGGGUAUGAGAACACUUCUCUUCAAGUCUCUCGGUGCUGAUCCCUUCACAAGCACCGAUGUGUAGAGAGCAAAGCACCCCAUGUGGGAACCCCAAAGAAGCCUGGAAAGCACUGCAUGAACACAUUCGCACUGGAAAAGGUUCUGAGGAGAAACAUGAAAAAAAAUUUCUCAGUAAAGCAAGUUUCACAGUCAUUGUGAAUCCCACACUGUCCUUCUCUCUGAAGAUAAUGCUCUGAGAUGACAUCACCACUCUUAGGAUCUCCCAAGAGCACUUUGCUUUAAUGUUUCCAGGCAAGAGCAAGUAGCAGGGAACAGAUGCCGUCUCAGAAAACCCUCCUUGCCCACACAUUUCCUGGAAAGGUAUCUGUCUAGAGGAGUGGAGCUGGUCAUCAACUAGUUUGGUUAUUUUAGAAUUGGACUAUUCCAGAUUAUUUCCUGAUGCUUCUCUAGUAUUGAACGUGGGAUAUGGAAGAGGAGAUGAUUCCACAAUUCUCUGUUGUUGGAGACUGAGCAACCUGGAAAGAAUUUCCAAUGAAAAUACAGAAUUUCUCUGAGCGAGGAGAGCAAAUACCUGCUACGUUGUCUCCAUGCUUCCAGGAUCAAUUCCACCUCUUCAUCUUCAGGGGGAUAUGGGCUGGGAAAUCUCUCUUAGCGCAUGGUGGAAUUGCCUACUAGAAGAUUCCUCACUGAAUGGAAAUGGUGAUAGCGGCAAAACAACACUCAAAAGCCAGAGGCUUCAAGCCACAGCAUCAGCUUCCUACAAAAGCCUGUGGGCUGCAACUACAAUGGGCCAAAUAUGUCCUAAUCACAAAGAAAUUGAAGCCCAAAGUCACGAGAGGAGGAUUCCGUGUCCUAAGUGGAAUUCGAGGGGGAAGCAUAUGCAGAUGCAGACGCAAGCAGGGCUUAGUCCUUCCUCCUGGCCUUGUACUCUGUGACUCUCAGCUUCUUUUCCUCAGCUGCAAAAGAGGUGUAACCAGAAUCUAGGCCUUUCUUUGUGUCCAAGACUUCUCCAACUGUAAAUGGAUUUCCACUGAAGCACUUUACUAAUCUUAAAAUGAUUAAGGAUGAAGACUUCAAAAGCUUGAGAAAAUUAAAAGGAUUAUCAGGUCUCAUGUCUAAUUGUCACACUGAGUUUAACUUUGUAAAGAUAACAUGACAGCUUAUUGAGUUAUUUCAUUAAUACUUUGGGUUCUAGAUAAAACUUUAAUUCUGAGUCAAAAUAAUUUUAAUGAUAUGAUUUAAUUUUUCCAGUGCUAAGUCAUUUCCUGUUGGUGGAGCCAAAAAUAAUUCACUCAUUUUCAGUCUGUAGUUGUAAGGAGCUUUGAGAAGUCUAGAUGACCAUGUAAUCAUCACUGUAACCCAUAGAAUAUAUUUCCAUCACCUCAAGAAGUUUCCUUGUGCCAGUUUUUGUGGUUGUCAACUUUUCUUUCCAGGUCCCAGAUACCAUAGAUUUUUUUUGUCAUUAAGUAUAGAUUUCUCUUAUGUACAAUUUUGUAUAAAUGAACUCAUAUAGUAUAAACUAAUUGUACUUGACAUCUUUCACUUAGCAUAACAUUUGUGAGGUCUGUUAAUGUGAAUAUGAAUAGUUCUUUUUUGUUGCUAUGUAUUAUUCCCUUCUUAGGAUAUGCCAUAAUCUGCUUAUCUACUCAGUCAUAAAUUAUGGUCAGGGGAUGGUUGCUUCCACUUUUAUGAGAUGAGUAGGAGUGAAACUACCACGAAUAUUUAUGUGCAAGUCUCUGUGUUACAUUUCCUUGAGUAAAUAUUAUGAAAUUGGACCUUAUUGUACAUAAGUGUAUAUUUCAC